GUGCACAGCUGUGCCACCCUGGACGCGCCCGAUCUCGUCUGACCUCAAAAACCAAGCUGGGUUGGGCCCGAUAGUCAAUGGAUUUGGUAUUUUUAAAUGAACCUCUUGCUUUAAGGUGGAACUGCUCC
rnacentral:rRNA from 1 species